UACGGAGGGGGCUAGCGUUGUUCGGAAUUACUGGGCGUAAAGCGCGCGUAGGCGGAUCAGUCAGUUAGAGGUGAAAGCCCAGGGCUCAACCCUGGAACUGCCUUUAAUACUGCUGGUCUGGAGUCCGAGAGAGGUGAGUGGAAUUCCGAGUGUAGAGGUGAAAUUCGUAGAUAUUCGGAGGAACACCAGUGGCGAAGGCGGCUCACUGGCUCGGUACUGACGCUGAGGUGCGAAAGCGUGGGGAGCAAACAGG
rnacentral:rRNA from 1 species